rnacentral:rRNA from 1 species
CGGACGGUGAGUANUGCCUAGGAAUCUGCCUGGUAGUGGGGGACAACGUUUCGAAAGGAACGCUAAUACCGCAUACGUCCUACGGGAGAAAGCAGGGGACCUUCGGGCCUUGCGCUAUCAGAUGAGCCUAGGUCGGAUUAGCUAGUUGGUGAGGUAAUGGCUCACCAAGGCGACGAUCCGUAACUGGUCUGAGAGGAUGAUCAGUCACACUGGAACUGAGACACGGUCCAGACUCCUACGGGAGGCAGCAGGG